AGCUAUCUUGCACAUCUGUCUGAACAGGCCUCGAACACUUCACUGCGCGGGUACCCCAUAGCAGCUUGUCCACUACUUCUGCCCGUAGAGACAGACGCUAUCCCUAAAUGUCCUUAAGAGGAAGUAGCUGUUGAUUUAGUGCGGUGGGACUGUAAGGGUGUAUGUGGUGUAUCACGGUCGAUAUCGUCAAUCUCUUGGUGAAGGAAGGUCGGGGUGGUCUGGUCGAUUGUCUGAUCAACUGUCUUUUGUAGGCAUUUCUUAAGACAGGGUAACACACAACAAACAAGAAGAGCGAGGAUGAUUAUCGUUAUUAAAAUGGCAACACCUAUUUGGGCCAGAGCACCUUGCCAUCCAGACAUCCAUCCAAACCAUCUUUCCCAUGGAUCUGCGGCCCCAGAAUUUCGUUUCAUCUCAUUGGACAAACUCUUUAACUUUUCUAUUGCCAACGUUACCUUACCAUUAGGGCCUGUAUUAUCUGGAAUAUAGGUACAGCAUGUUAUGGUGUCUGGGAGUAUUUUACAUACUCUCCCUUUUUCUGCCAAAAUCAUUUUUAAGCUUAUUCUAUUCUGGAAGGUCAUCUGAGAGGUAGCUUGUAACCGCCCUAUCCCACCAUAUAUCCCAUAACAAGUAUAGUUCCCAGGAUAUAUAGUAAUGCCUUCGUUUGGGCAUAAUAUUUUUAGUAAUGAUUGGGUAUUAAGUUUCCAUGACUCGCAUGCUGACCGCUUAGGUUUAAAUACAGUGUAGAGACUUAAAACGCAUACUUCAUAUCCGGAGGAAGGUUCAGGGAUACUGUACCUGGGUGAGGCCUCGCUCCUCUGCAGACAUAGCAGUUAGACUUGUUAUGUCUAUCAUCCAUUCAAGUCACAAGUUAGUGUCAGAGAAACCUGUCUCUACAGCCCUGUUAUCCUCAAAUAUGGGAUGACUACCAUGUCUUUUAAAGUCCUAAUGUGUGGUUUGAGGGGAUUAACAGUCAUAUGCGUGGCACCUACCCAUUCAGCUGAGUCAUACAUGUCCUGUAAGAAAAAGGUCUCCUGUUUAUUGUAUAAACCUCUUCCCUUCCAAUUCAGAUUUUAUUAGCCGUAAUGCUUGGAAGAAUAGAUUCAAACUUAGUUUCUUACCUUAAAAUCAUUUGGUACCCCCCUUGACACCCCUAUGGCAUUAAUAUACAUAUAUAUAUAUAUAUAUAUAUAUAUAUGUGUGGGUAAAACCACCCUUUAUAGGGGUACUCCUUUUUUGUCCUGAAGCAUGAAUGAGGUGUGUCAAGAGUACCUUGGGGAUUGUCAUGUGUU